rnacentral:rRNA from 1 species
GGUUAAGCGACUAAGCGUACACGGUGGAUGCCCUGGCAGUCAGAGGCGAUGAAGGGCGUGCUAAUCUGCGAUAAGCGCCGGUAAGGUGAUAUGAACCGUUAUAACCGGCGAUACCCGAAUGGGGAAACCCAGUGUGACUCGUCACACUAUCAUUAACUGAAUCCAUAGGUUAAUGAGGCGAACCGGGGGAACUGAAACAUCUAAGUACCCCGAGGAAAAGAAAUCAACCGAGAUUCCCCCAGUAGCGGCGAGCGAACGGGGAGGAGCCCAGAGCCUGAAUCAGCAUGUGUGUUAGUGGAAGCGUCUGGAAAGGCGCGCGAUACAGGGUGACAGCCCCGUACACAAAAGCGCAUGUGCUGUGAGCUCGAUGAGUAGGGCGGGACACGUGGUAUCCUGUCUGAAUAUGGGGGGACCAUCCUCCAAGGCUAAAUACUCCUGACUGACCGAUAGUGAACCAGUACCGUGAGGGAAAGGCGAAAAGAACCCCGGCGAGGGGAGUGAAAAAGAACCUGAAACCGUGUACGUACAAGCAGUGGGAGCACAGGUUUACCUGUGUGACUGCGUACCUUUUGUAUAAUGGGUCAGCGACUUAUAUUCUGUAGCAAGGUUAACCGUAUAGGGGAGCCGUAGGGAAACCGAGUCUUAACCGGGCGUUAAGUUGCAGGGUAUAGACCCGAAACCCGGUGAUCUAGCCAUGGGCAGGUUGAAGGUUGGGUAACACUAACUGGAGGACCGAACCGACUAAUGUUGAAAAAUUAGCGGAUGACCUGUGGCUGGGGGUGAAAGGCCAAUCAAACCGGGAGAUAGCUGGUUCUCCCCGAAAGCUAUUUAGGUAGCGCCUCGUGAAUUCAUCUCCGGGGGUAGAGCACUGUUUCGGCUAGGGGGCCAUCCCGGCUUACCAACCCGAUGCAAACUGCGAAUACCGGAGAAUGUUAUCACGGGAGACACACGGCGGGUGCUAACGUCCGUCGUGAAGAGGGAAACAACCCAGACCGCCAGCUAAGGUCCCAAAGUCAUGGUUAAGUGGGAAACGAUGUGGGAAGGCCCAGACAGCCAGGAUGUUGGCUUAGAAGCAGCCAUCAUUUAAAGAAAGCGUAAUAGCUCACUGGUCGAGUCGGCCUGCGCGGAAGAUGUAACGGGGCUAAACCAUGCACCGAAGCUGCGGCAGCGACACUGAUGCGUUGUUGGGUAGGGGAGCGUUCUGUAAGCCUGUGAAGGUGGCCUGUGAGGGUUGCUGGAGGUAUCAGAAGUGCGAAUGCUGACAUAAGUAACGAUAAAGCGGGUGAAAAGCCCGCUCGCCGGAAGACCAAGGGUUCCUGUCCAACGUUAAUCGGGGCAGGGUGAGUCGACCCCUAAGGCGAGGCCGAAAGGCGUAGUCGAUGGGAAACGGGUUAAUAUUCCCGUACUUGGUGUUACUGCGAAGGGGGGACGGAGAAGGCUAUGUUGGCCGGGCGACGGUUGUCCCGGUUUAAGCGUGUAGGUGUGUGUUCCAGGUAAAUCCGGUUCACUUUAACACUGAGGCGUGAUGACGAGGCACUACGGUGCUGAAGCAACAAAUGCCCUGCUUCCAGGAAAAGCCUCUAAGCAUCAGGUAACAUCAAAUCGUACCCCAAACCGACACAGGUGGUCAGGUAGAGAAUACCAAGGCGCUUGAGAGAACUCGGGUGAAGGAACUAGGCAAAAUGGUGCCGUAACUUCGGGAGAAGGCACGCUGACACGUAGGUGAAGUGAUUUACUCACGGAGCUGAAGUCAGUCGAAGAUACCAGCUGGCUGCAACUGUUUAUUAAAAACACAGCACUGUGCAAACACGAAAGUGGACGUAUACGGUGUGACGCCUGCCCGGUGCCGGAAGGUUAAUUGAUGGGGUCAGCGCAAGCGAAGCUCCUGAUCGAAGCCCCGGUAAACGGCGGCCGUAACUAUAACGGUCCUAAGGUAGCGAAAUUCCUUGUCGGGUAAGUUCCGACCUGCACGAAUGGCGUAAUGAUGGCCAGGCUGUCUCCACCCGAGACUCAGUGAAAUUGAACUCGCUGUGAAGAUGCAGUGUACCCGCGGCAAGACGGAAAGACCCCGUGAACCUUUACUAUAGCUUGACACUGAACAUUGAGCCUUGAUGUGUAGGAUAGGUGGGAGGCUUUGAAGUGUGGACGCCAGUCUGCAUGGAGCCGACCUUGAAAUACCACCCUUUAAUGUUUGAUGUUCUAACGUGGACCCGUAAUCCGGGUUGCGGACAGUGUCUGGUGGGUAGUUUGACUGGGGCGGUCUCCUCCUAAAGAGUAACGGAGGAGCACGAAGGUUGGCUAAUCCUGGUCGGACAUCAGGAGGUUAGUGCAAUGGCAUAAGCCAGCUUGACUGCGAGCGUGACGGCGCGAGCAGGUGCGAAAGCAGGUCAUAGUGAUCCGGUGGUUCUGAAUGGAAGGGCCAUCGCUCAACGGAUAAAAGGUACUCCGGGGAUAACAGGCUGAUACCGCCCAAGAGUUCAUAUCGACGGCGGUGUUUGGCACCUCGAUGUCGGCUCAUCACAUCCUGGGGCUGAAGUAGGUCCCAAGGGUAUGGCUGUUCGCCAUUUAAAGUGGUACGCGAGCUGGGUUUAGAACGUCGUGAGACAGUUCGGUCCCUAUCUGCCGUGGGCGCUGGAGAACUGAGGGGGGCUGCUCCUAGUACGAGAGGACCGGAGUGGACGCAUCACUGGUGUUCGGGUUGUCAUGCCAAUGGCACUGCCCGGUAGCUAAAUGCGGAAGAGAUAAGUGCUGAAAGCAUCUAAGCACGAAACUUGCCCCGAGAUGAGUUCUCCCUGAGACUUAAAGUCUCCUGAAGGAACGUUGAAGACGACGACGUUGAUAGGCCGGGUGUGUAAGCGCAGCGAUGCGUUGAGCUAACCGGUACUAAUGAACCGUGAGGCUUAACCUU